GGUAAGAAAGCGCGAGGAAGUGCAGACUUUAUUUGGUCGCUUGGUCUGUACAGAGCGAGUAGCGAAUCCGCCCUCUCUUUUU
rnacentral:ncRNA from 19 species